GCUAGUCGUCUUUUGCGUUAUCAACCUGAUAAAUUACAUUGAUCGAGGAGCUAUAGCAAGUAAUGGUGUUAAUGGGAGUCGCAGAAGUUGCUCGAAAAGUGGUACAUGCACAUCUGGCAGUGGAAUACAGGGGGACUUCAAUUUAAACAAUUUUGAAGAUGGACUUUUAUCAUCUGCUUUCAUGGUUGGACUUCUUGUUGCUUCUCCAAUAUUUGCAUCACUAGCAAAGAACUUUAAUCCAUUUAGGCUAAUUGGAGUUGGAUUAUCAGUUUGGACACUUGCUGUAGUUGGUUGUGGUUUUUCAUUUAAUUUCUGGUCCAUAAUAAUCUGCCGCAUGUUUGUUGGUGUUGGUGAGGCUUCAUUUAUUAGUCUUGCAGCGCCAUUUAUUGAUGAUAAUGCCCCUCUGGCUCAGAAAACAGCAUGGCUUGCAAUAUUUUACAUGUGCAUACCAACUGGAUAUGCUGUUGGCUAUGUUUAUGGUGGACUAGUUGGAGAUCAUGUUAGUUGGCGUUGGGCAUUCUGGGGAGAGGCAGUUGUGAUGCUUCCAUUUGCUGUUUUAGGUUAUGUUAUGAAGCCGUUACAGUUGAAAGGUUUUGCUCCUGCUGAAUCAAAAAAGGCACUGGCAUCUGUAGAAACAACUUGCUCAGAAGUUCAAGAUGCCGAAAUUUCAACUGGUAAAGGUGGCACACCAUCUGUUCAGGACGAGUUAGAUGGUAAAGGCUCAAAACAGUCUUGCACGUCAAGGUACACAGCCAUUGGUUUGAAUCAAUUCUCAAGGUUUAUGAAAGACAUGAAAAUUCUUUUGGCUGAGAAGGUCUUUGUUGUGAACGUUCUAGGCUACAUAGCAUACAAUUUCGUCAUUGGUGCAUACUCAUAUUGGGGCCCUAAGGCUGGUUAUAAUAUCUACAAAAUGACCAAUGCAGAUAUGAUAUUUGGAGGAAUUACAAUAGUUUGUGGAAUACUUGGCACAAUAGCAGGCGGAUAUAUUUUGGAUUUCAUGACUUCGACAAUCCCUAAUGCUUUUAAGCUUCUUUCUGCUGCUACAUUUCUUGGGGCAAUAUUUUGCUUCACUGCUUUCUGUUUCAAGAGCAUGUAUAUUUUUCUUGCUCUCUUCGCAAUUGGGGAACUGCUUGUCUUUGCAACUCAGCAUAAAAUCCAUGGUAUUUGUGCAGGGUCCUGUAAAUUUCAUUUGUCUUCAUUGUGUUGCACCGAGUAUGAGACCCUUAUCUAUGGCUAUUUCUACUGUUUCAAUUCAUAUCUUUGGAGAUGUGCCUUCCUCCCCCCUUGUUGGCGUCCUCCAGGAUUAUGUCAACAAUUGGAGGGAGACUGCUCUUGUUCUGACAGCCAUUUUGUUUCCAGCAGCAGGGAUAUGGUGUAUAGGAAUAUUUCUGCGCAGUGUAGAUAGAUUUAAUGAAGAAAGCCAGCAUCAAGUCGCUGCAACUGACAGGUCAAACACAACACCCUUACUUGAUGGCAACACAGCAGGAGCAACAGAAGCUUCUGCAGAACCAUAGAGUACUCGGCCAGAAAGGAAUGUGAACUAUCAAUUGCAUAGUCAAGUUGAGAAGAUACACUCCCAUUUAUUCUAUGUGCUGACAACUUGGACUUCAACAAACGUAGCAGAUCUUUAUGCCGAGAUUGUUUUCUCUUCAAUACCUUGAUAAAAGCAUUCAACCCAAGCCAUUCAACUUCUCCCGCCUCCAAUUGAAGAAUGGGAUGGAAAUGAGAACCGAUAUGUGCAGUAGACAUCUUUUUCUUUAUUAGAAUAUACAUAUACCUGUAUUCAGAAAACAAAGAAGCAGCAAAAAUGUAUAAUAAGAUGUUGAAGGAGCUCAAGGGAAAA